CCUACGGGAGGCUGCAGUGGGGAAUAUUGGACAAUGGGCGAAAGCCUGAUCCAGCCAUGCCGCGUGUGUGAAGAAGGCCUUCGGGUUGUAAAGCACUUUCAGUGGGGAAGAAAGCCUUGGGGCUAAUACCCUCGAGGAAGGACAUCACCCACAGAAGAAGCACCGGCUAACUCCGUGCCAGCAGCCGCGGUAAUACGGAGGGUGCGAGCGUUAAUCGGAAUUACUGGGCGUAAAGCGCGCGUAGGCGGUCUGAUAAGCCGGUUGUGAAAGCCCCGGGCUCAACCUGGGAACGGCAUCCGGAACUGUCAGGCUAGAGUGCAGGAGAGGAAGGUAGAAUUCCCGGUGUAGCGGUGAAAUGCGUAGAGAUCGGGAGGAAUACCAGUGGCGAAGGCGGCCUUCUGGACUGACACUGACGCUGAGGUGCGAAAGCGUGGGUAGCAAACAGGAUUAGAGACCCCGGUAGUC
rnacentral:rRNA from 1 species